AUGCUCACUUCAGUGCACAUAUACUAAAAUUGGAAUACAGAGAUUAGCAUGACCCCUGCACAAGGAUGACAUGCCAAUUUGUGAAGAAGCCUUCCAUAUUUUU
rnacentral:snRNA from 1 species